UAUCUGCUUCGGGUUUAUGUCCA
rnacentral:siRNA from 1 species